UUACGGCCACAUCACAUUAAAUAACCGUUUCUCGGCCGAUCACCGAAGUUAAGAAACGUCGAGCCCAGUCAGUACCGAGUCGGGUGACCGCUUGGGAAUAUCAGGUGCUGUAAG